AAAAUGUUUAACCAUAAAGUCCUGUCUCUGGUAAAAGAAAACUCAAUAAACACAACGCCUAUUAGUCAAGUAGGAGGACUUUUCGUAUUUCGAUUUAUUCUCCUGUAUUAGCUUUAUCAAGUGAAUUAAAUACAACAUGAAACCCUUUUCUAGUACCGCACUAAUGAUUUGAGUUAAUUUUGCACUUCUCUCGAGCCUAAUGUCUCCCUACAACAAGAACCACAGUGUGAAGAUUAUCAAGGUUGAAUAGCUAAAGAGCAUAAGCUGAUCCGGAAGAUAACGUAAUCACCACAGUGGAUGGCUUGAUGCGCAAGUCUCUAUGAACUCUACGGUAGGAGUCUCGGAGAUGAUAUGUUAUGUCUCCCCUGGAAGCAUCUUUCACUUCUCUACUUCCAAGAUUCUUUGCCCGAAUUUAAACCAAACCAAACUGUAGCUACAAAUGGAGGCAAGCCUCCGGCCUGGUUAGAGAGCUUUGAUUCAUUUGACAAAUCAAUAAUCUAAGAGCAAUUUUAAUGGAAGUUUCUCACUACGUUAUAUGGAAUUGGAAGUGGAUACACGGAAGCACGAAACACACAUUUUUAAAAAAAUUUAGGAAGCGAGUAUGUGUUGGAGUCGUAUAUAUAUAAAUAUAUAUAUUAAACACCAAAAUUAAUAUAUGUAUAAUAAAAUAUUGUAAAUAGUAACAUCCAGUAGAUAAUUCAUAUACUAUAAAUCAAAUACAAUAAAUAUGUAUAAUUGCAAAGAACAAAUAUAAUAAUAUAUGUAAAUCUUAUGUAUAUUUAUAUUGCUUUGAAACUGAAAAAAUAAAGCACGACAAUUAGUUGAUUCAUGCACAGCAAUUGAAUAGUACAAACAACAUAAAACAUAACGAAUAAGUGAACAAAACGUAUUACAAUUAAUUAGAUCAUUAUUCAGAAACACGGAGUUAGGAAUGAAUUUGCCUUUUUUUUUUAAUUUUCAGCUCCAGUGUUAAUGAAUUAGGAUUUUAAUAAAGUGAGCUAUGAAAGCUCCAUUAGUCCAAUGGUUGACUAAUGAUUCAUUAAUGUUUUUAAGCUAUAAGUUAUGAGUUUCGAUUCCCCAAAAAACAGAAUUACGCGGAAUUAAUUGUAAAAAAAUUAACUAAGUUGGGCCAGAACCAAUUAAACUUGCAAGCCCACAAAAAUAAUAUUUCAUCUUCUUUCCACCUACGAACCAUGCGUUUCCAUCACGCUUCCAAACAACACAAUUCUGGAAACGCGAUUCCGAGCCAUUCCGCUUCCUCUUCGGACCUCCACCGGCGAUUCCAUGCUCGAAGCUUUGUUUACACAACGGUCUAGAUAAAACAAUGGCCUGUGGACUAAGAGGGUACAGGUCGUAAGCAGACUCACAAGUGACAAGACAAAGGAAUUGAUACGAGGUAAUCUGAAGGUAGGGACGAUGUCCCAAUCUCUGAUGAUCGCUUAAACCUCAGUUCAUCUCCAUACACUCCAGGGUCUAAGAUUAUCUGUUCUAUCUCUGUCUCACCUUCAAGCAUCUUCACAACUUCCGACAUGGUUGGUCUUAAGGUCGGAGACUUGUUGGAACAUAGAAGCGAUACCUUUAUCAUUCUCUCUGCCUCCUUAACAUCAUACAAUCCUUCAAGCUUCGGAUCCAGAAUCUCUGAGAAUCACUCAAUUAUAACUUGGUAUAAUUAAUUGUAUAAUUUGCUAUAACUAUAAUUUAGGUAUACCAAGUUAUACCAUUGUUAAAUACCAAGCUAUAUUCAGACAAUUGUACAACUUAGUGUAACUAAAUUAUAAUUAUACCAAGUAAUACAAUUAUCUCAAGGUAAUCUUGGUAUAACUGUAUAACAGAGUAUAAUUAUAACUCUAGGUAUACCAAGUUGUACUUCCAUCAAUUAAGAUUUAAAAUUUAAAAGUUUAA